ACCAGGGGCUAAAGGCACAGUCGUAAUGGAUUUGUCCUUACUGUGGCCAGAUUUCUACUUGUGCUCUCUCAGUCUGUUGUUCCCUAGGCAACCGUUGGCCUCAAUGCCCUCAACGCUCCCAGCAGGCCGCGUGGCAACCAGCAGCGCCGCCAUCUUCGCCAGCGUCGGAAACAAACGCUUGAUCUCUACUCCUGUUCUGGUCCUCCUUGCACGUUGCUUCAGCCGUGUCUGCUACCGGUGAGGACGACCCGGCCCCAGGAGGACAGAGCCAAGCUGAUGAAGAAACAAGCCUGGGCCCGAAACCCCUCCAUGAUGUCGAGGUGCCUGCGGAAUUGUUGGUUUUGACGGCGGGAGCGGUGGGACUUCUAGCCUUUCAGAUGGUUCUCCGAAACUUUGAGGAAAAGGAGAGUGAGCAAUUGGUGGCCCAACCCGCCUUCGACAAGGACCGGGGGCCGGUAGAGGAGAAAGAUGAAGAGGAAAAAGAACGCGAGGAAGAAGACAGUGAGGAGCGGGGAGAAGCGGCAGGUUUUUCAGAGUAUAAGGUACUGGAUGCUGAAACUGUGUGUAAGUUGUAAUAUUUUUCACAUGAUGUCAUGGCCCCGAAGUCUCUGUCAUUCCUUGCUGAGGAAGCAUUGCUACAUUACUAUGAAUCUUUGGAUGAAGAAGAUCAACAAGGUGAAGGGAAAGAAGAAGAGAAAGAGGACAAAAAUGAAGAACUGGAAGAAGGACACCAAAAGUACCUGUAGUGACAGGUCAACAUCUCUUAGGAAUUCAGUUGGAAAGCAUAGAAAGAAAUGGACGGAGAAAGGAAAAAAUGAAUUUGUUCUUCAUGAAUUGUGUAGUUUUCAGUAGCCCAGAAUUCUGGGUUUGUUUCAAAGUUCAUCACAUAGAAAUGACUUCAACUGACAUCUUACUUUACAAUUGUCUUCUUAAAGAUAUAUUUGAGUGCAUAUGUUCAUAUAAAAAUAAAAUCUAGUUUGAAAUGUAUAACCUGCAGAAUUUUGUAUGUGAAUAACGC
rnacentral:lncRNA from 1 species